GACGUGGGGAUGUUCGGGAUAAAAAACUGUUUUCAUUCCCCUUUAACUCCUGAACAAAUAUAAUCAUGCCAGUCCGUAGACCAAAAUGAUUGUUAAAAUAAGCCCCAUAUCUUAGCCCUUGCCUUUCUGAGGAUUUCAUCAUAGGAUGACAGAACAUUUGAUCAAACAGGAGAAAAGUGGGAAGUAACUUAAAAUGGGGAAGAAAAGCUCCAGAAUUUGAAUACAAAUGUCAGGUAUAAGUUGGUAAUGAUCAGCAGUCAGCUGUAGAACUUGAUCGAAACUUAGCUAAGCCAUUCCUCAGCCCUUCCAUUGGCCCUUGUGAUUGUAUCCUAACCCAUUUUCCUCCAUAGCAUUCAUUUCCCCCAUGAUCUUUCCAAAGAAUUCACCUAUAGAUCUCAAUUCUCUCUCGCCAUGCUAAGAUUAUCUUUCUUACUACCAAUUCCUUCUAGGCUCCAUCAUUUCUUUCCUAACGUCUUCUGAUUCGACUUUGAGACAACCCAGCACUCUGGAAUCUUUGCUGCGACUUCUCCAAUGGACAGAUGUUCCGUUCCAUCCUCCUAACGAGGCUUCAUGA
rnacentral:lncRNA from 1 species